UACGUAGGGUGCGAGCGUUGUCCGGAUUUAUUGGGCGUAAAGAGCUCGUAGGCGGUUUGUCGCGUCGGCCGUGAAAUCUCCACGCUUAACGUGGAGCGUGCGGUCGAUACGGGCAGACUUGAGUUCGGUAGGGGAGACUGGAAUUCCUGGUGUAGCGGUGAAAUGCGCAGAUAUCAGGAGGAACACCCGGUGGCGAAGGCGGGU
rnacentral:rRNA from 1 species